rnacentral:lncRNA from 1 species
GGGCGGGCGCUUUACGGCAAACUCAGGUAGAAUUCUUCCUUUUCCGUCUCUUUCUUUUUAUGUCACCAGGGGAGGACUGGGUGGCCAACCCAGAGCCCCGAGAGAUGCUAGGCUCUUUCUGUCCCGCCCUUCCUCUGACUAUGUCUUGAUUUCCUAUUCUGAGAGGCUAUUGCUCAGCGGUUUCCGUGGCAACAGUAAAGCGUGGGAAUUACAGAUAAAUUAAAACUGUGGAACCCCUUUCCUCGGCUGCCGCCAAGGUGCUCGGUCCUUCCGAGGAAGCUAAGGCCGCGUUGGGGUGAGACCCUCACUUCAUCCGCUCUAAAACCAGCUCCAUCACUUGAAAUGGCAAAAUAAAUCAUGAAUGAGGCCGGGGGCUGUGGCUCACACCUGUAAUCCCAGCACUCUGGGGGGCCGAGGCAGGCAGAUCACGAGGUCAGGAGAUCGAGACCAUCCUGGCUAACAUGGUGUAAGGGAGGAGACCACCCCUCAUAUUGUCUUAUGCCCAAUUUCUGCCUCCAAAGAAAGAAAAAGUAAAAACCAAAGGGCAGAAAUGACAUCCACAAGCAGACACCCCAGGUGCCACACCCUGGGCCUGGUAGUUAAAAAUCAACCCCUGACCUGAUUGGUAUGUUAUCUAUAGAUUACAGACAUUGUAUAGAAAAGCACUGUGACAAUGCCUUUCCUGUUUUGUUCCGAUCUAGUUACUGGUGCAUGCAGCCCCCAGUCAUGUACCCCCUGCUUGCUCAAUUGAUCACGACCCUCUCACGCGCACCCCCUUAGAGUUGUGAGCCCUUAAAAGGGACAGGAAUUGCUCACUCGGGGAACUUGGCUCUUGAGACCGGAGUCUUGCCGAUGCCCCUGGCCUAAUAAACCCCUUCCUUCUUUAACUCGGUGUCUGAGGAGUUUUGUCUGCAGCUCGAUUUCUCGGUUCCCUGACUGGGAAGCGAGGUGAAUGGCGGAUGGUCAAGGCAGCUCCUUAGGCGGCUUAAACCUGCCCUGUGGAACAUCCCUGCAGGGGACUCCAACCAGCCCGAGCAACACGGAUCCUGAGGGCACUCCUGGUUAGGCAUUUGCCCCAUUGGGACGCCUCGCCAGAGCAGUGUAUGGCAGGCCCCCAUGGAGGAUCAACGCAGUGGCUGAACACCGGGAAGGAACGGGCACUUGGAGUCUGGACAUCUAAAACUUGGUAAGAGUAGUCUUUGAAACUUGCCCACUCCAUUUGAGUGGAAGCAUGGCCUGAUCACCCAUGGCGUGCCUUUAUCGGCACUUUGGUUUUGGUUUGAAUUGCUUGACAGGAUUGGUCUUGGGAACUUGCCUACUCCAUUUGAGUGGUAGUGUGGCCUGAUCACCCAUGGUGUGCCUGUCCUGGCACUUUGGUUUUUGUUUUUGACUUGACUUGGAUUGCUUGAUACUUUGGUUUUGGUUUUGACCUGGCUUGGAUUUCUGGAUACUCUGAUUUUGGUUUGGUGCAAACUGCAAAACUGUGUGUGCGCCCUUUUUACCGGUUCUUUGUUUUGUGGUGUGUUUGUGGUGUGAGCGUGGUGUUUUGUCUUGAAGAAGCAUAGGUCAGGCAUGAAUAAGCCCACCCCACUAGGAACUAUGUUGACAAAUUUCAAAAAAGAAUCUGAGGGAGACUAUGGAGUGCUAUGACACCAGGAAAACUUAAAACUUUGUGUAAGAUAGACUGGCCAGCAUUAGAGGUAGGUUGGCCAUUAGAAGGAAGCCUGGACAGGUCCCUUGUUUCAAAGGUAUGGCACAAGGUAACCUAUAAGCCAAGGAACCCAGACCAGUUCCCUUACAGAGACACUUGAUUAGAGCUGGUUUUAGACCCCCCCACCCCCAACACAUAGUGGUUGAGAGAACAGCAGCAUAAGUGGCUGGCAGAGGCAAGGAAAGACCAGCAGAGAGAGAGAAAGGAAAGAGACAGAGAGGAAAAGAGAGAGAGGAAGAGACAGGAAGAGACAGACAGAGAGUCAAGGAUAGAGAGAGAGAGACACACACACACACACAGAGAGAGAGAGGAAGAGACAGAGGCAAAAGGAAAGUCAAAGAGAGAGACAAAGUCAAAGAGAGAGAGAAAGAGAGAGAGAGAGAUACAAAGUUAAGAAAAAAAAGCCAUCUAUACCAAUUCUAAUUUAGACAAAACAAGGUCUUAUUAAUAGCAAAGGAUAAUUAAAAUCCCAAACUUACAAGGUUUUCUUUUUAUUAUUAUUAUUAUUAUUAUACUUUAAGUUUUAGGGUACAUGUGCACAACAUGCAUUUUUUUUAAAUUUUUUUUAAAGGUUUUCAACUAAAGUUUGCUAAAAGUUAACAGUGUAACAUGUAUAUAGUAACUUCUAUUCUUGUGGCCUUAGACAGUCUAGUCCACAGACACAAAAAAGGUUCGCUUUGGAAA